AGCUGGUGACUUCCUGCCCUCCGCCCACUGGCCAGGGCUGGGUGCAGGACUGUUUCCUUCCUGGCACCGUCAGCACUGCCUGUUGAGUAUGGUGUAGACUUUGGGGCCCCCAGGCGGACUGGGAGUUGGGGUGUUAAUGACUUGUACGCUGUGCUCAGAUCUCACACCCUAAUGCCCCAGACAGCACUGAAUCAGUCCUGCCUCCUGGAAGCCCACCCUUUCUGACUUCUCUGCCACACCCCCAGCAUGAGCUCAUUUUAUUCCUCAUCAUAAUUCCUGGAAGUUAUCUCCAACUCCCCAUCUCCACAAACAGCACUGCAAUGACAUCACAUCCACAGGCCCUUAUGGACCAAGGUGAAGGUUUCUUUGGGGCCUACUCCUAAGAGAGGAUUGACUGGUCACAGGGUAUGAGUAGAUGUCACUUGGGGCUUCCCUGAAGACUCACUGGUAAAGAAUCUGCCUGCCAAUGCAGGAGACUCGGGUUCGACCCUUGGGUCAGGGAAGAUCCCCUGGAGAAGGAAAUGGCAACCCGUUUCAAUACUCUUGUCUGGAGAAUACCAUGGACAGAGCAGCCUGGCGAGCCACAGUCCAUGGGGUCAUAAAAGAGUUGGACACGACCUAGCGACUAAACAAUAGAUGUCAUUCGAAGUCUUUUUCCCUCCAUCCACAACAUGGAUGUAUUGUCCUCUUCCUUGGUAGAGCUGACUUGCUGGUAGUAGGUUGGGACUUCCCUGGUGGUCCAGUGAUUAGGAGGAUUCCACACUUCCACUGCAGGGGGCACGGGUUGAUCCCUGGUCAGGAAACUAAACUCCCACGUGCCAUGUGGUGUGGCCAAAAAAUAAAUGAAAAAAAAAACACUUUUAGAAGAUGAUAUUGGGUUAAUGCACAUAGUCCACUCGGCCCUGUGCCUCACACAGCAAAGAUGCUCAGUGAAUGGUAGAUGCAGCUGCUAUUACUUUCAGGUCUCAGGAAGAGAGGGCGAGACAAGAUGGACCCACGAGAGGGUGCAUGGAAACACACUCAGGGCUCAAAGUCCCCAUUCAAGUGUUGGUCUUCAGAA